GUGCCAGCCGCUGCGGUAAUACAGAGGGUGCGAGCGUUAAUCGGAUUUACUGGGCGUAAAGCGUGCGUAGGCGGCUUAUUAAGUCGGAUGUGAAAUCCCCGAGCUUAACUUGGGAAUUGCAUUCGAUACUGGUGAGCUAGAGUAUGGGAGAGGAUGGUAGAAUUCCAGGUGUAGCGGUGAAAUGCGUAGAGAUCUGGAGGAAUACCGAUGGCGAAGGCAGCCAUCUGGCCUAAUACUGACGCUGAGGUACGAAAGCAUGGGGAGCAAACAGGAUUAGAUACCCUGGUAGUCCAUGCCGUAAACGAUGUCUACUAGCCGUUGGGGCCUUUGAGGCUUUAGUGGCGCAGCUAACGCGAUAAGUAGACCGCCUGGGGGAUACGGUCGCAAGACUAAAACUCAAAUGAAUUGACGGGGGCCCGCACAAGCGGUGGAGCAUAUGGUUUAAUUCGAUGCAACGCGAAGAACCUUACCUGGCCUUGACAUACUAGAAACUUUCCAGAGAUGGAUUGGUGCCUUAC
rnacentral:rRNA from 1 species